rnacentral:rRNA from 1 species
UACGUAGGGGGCAAGCGUUGUCCGGAUUCAUUGGGCGUAAAGAGCGUGUAGGCGGCCAGGCAGGUCCGCUGUGAAAACUCGAGGCUCAACCUCGAGAUGUCGGUGGAAACCGUCUGGCUAGAGUCCGGAAGAGGAGAGUGGAAUUCCUGGUGUAGCGGUGAAAUGCGCAGAUAUCGGGAAGAACACCCGUGGCGAAGGCGGCUCUCUGGGACGGUACUGACGCUGAGACGCGAAAGCGUGGGGAGCGAACGGG